rnacentral:rRNA from 1 species
UACAGAGGGGGCAAGCGUUAUUCGGAAUUAUUGGGCGUAAAGGGUGCGUAGACGGCGGGGUAAGUCAGGUGUGAAAUCUCGGGGCUCAACCCCGAAACUGCACUUGAUACUGCCUCGCUUGAGUACUGGAGAGGAGACUGGAAUUUACGGUGUAGCAGUGAAAUGCGUAGAUAUCGUAAGGAAGACCAGUGGCGAAGGCAAUCCCCUGGGCCUGUACUGACGCUCAUGCACGAAAGCGUGGGGAGCAAACAGG